UCGAGAAUUUUUCACAAUGGGCGCAAGCCUGAUGGAGCGACGCCGCGUGGGGGAUGAAUGGCUUCGGCCCGUAAACCCCUGUCAUUCGCGAUCAAACCUCGUUAUUUAAAAGAUGACGAGCUGAUAGUAGCGGAAGAGGAAGGGACGGCUAACUCUGUGCCAGCAGCCGCGGUAAUACAGAGGUCCCAAGCGUUGUUCGGAUUCACUGGGCGUAAAGGGUGCGUAGGUGGCAUGGUAAGUCGGAUGUGAAAUCUCCGAGCUCAACUCGGAAAUGGCAUUGGAAACUACCUUGCUAGAGGAUUGGAGGGGGGACUGGAAUUCUCGGUGUAGCAGUGAAAUGCGUAGAUAUCGAGAGGAACACCAGUGGCGAAGGCGAGUCCCUGGACAAUACCUGACACUGAGGCACGAAAGCUAGGGGAGCAAACAGGAUUAGAUACCCGGGUAGUCC
rnacentral:rRNA from 1 species